rnacentral:lncRNA from 1 species
CCCACCAGUUUGUCCAUCGUAUUACCAUCCUUCAAGAACAUAAAAGUAGGCAUAGCCUUUACCUUUAGCCGUCUCGCCACUUCCUGACCAGUCCAACAUGGUUUAUAAAAAAAAGAAAACCAUCAAGGAUCACCAAUCUAGCUAUUGUUCAAUUUCACAACACUUGUCAAGAUAUUACGUUUCUUUGAAUAUUCUUCCAUUCUUUAUGGUUAAGACCCAAAAACUAGAGACAUAUAAGUAUUUAUACCUUGACUUCAUCAACAUCAACUAUAAGAAACAGAGCAUCCUUAUAGCUAGAGGCAAGAUCUUCAAAGAACGAGUUCAUAAACACAGAAGGAAUACACCAAGAUGCUGUGAAAUGAGCCACAAU